CAGCGAUCACUUGGACUAUUCCGCAGCACCCCUCUCACAUUGGUACACCCCCCCCCCUCCCCCGGUAUUCAUUGUCUUCUACAGUAGAGCGGGACAUUUAAUUUACUCUCAGCGGAAUUGACCGGAGAAGGCAUCAGUUCAUGCACUGCACUGGCCUGCACCACGAUUAGUAUAAGGCACAUUUCACGAAGCAGAACGCAGUCUUCAGAGAUAUCCACGUGAACGCUGUGAUACGUCUGACCUUCAGUCCGAAGAAGAAACCCAGACCAGUCUUAAAAGAAAGCACAAACCAAAUCCCCUGUACACAUAUACGGACUCAGAGGAUGAGCAGCCUACAAAGAAACGGUUUCCCCAGGCCCCUCGAGUGAAAAUACCAGCCGUCAUCACUCCGCAGUCUGCCCCCCAGCCCACUGAUAGCAACCAUCAUAAUGCCCCACCCAGCUUCCGGCACCUUUCGCCACUCCGGCACAAACCGACACAGCUUUGCGAUCUCCCCAGCAUGCAGAGUCUGAUGUCUUCCCUAUAGAUGAUUCCAGAGACUCUGUGAGGCCACUAUUACAAGGC